rnacentral:rRNA from 1 species
GACGAACGCUGGCGGCGUGCUUAACACAUGCAAGUCGAACGGAAAGGCCCAGCUUGCUGGGUGCUCGAGUGGCGAACGGGUGGGUAACACGUGGGUGAUCUGCCCCUAACUUCGGGAUAAGCUUGGGAAACUGGGUCUAAUACCGGAUAGGACAAUCGUUUAGUGUCGGUUGUGGAAAGUUUUUUCGGUUAGGGAUGAGCCCGCGGCCUAUCAGCUUGUUGGUGGGGUAAUGGCCUACCAAGGCGUCGACGGGUAGCCGGCCUGAGAGGGUGGACGGCCACAUUGGGACUGAGAUACGGCCCAGACUCCUACGGGAGGCAGCAGUGGGGAAUAUUGCACAAUGGGCGCAAGCCUGAUGCAGCGACGCCGCGUGGGGGAUGACGGCCUUCGGGUUGUAAACCUCUUUCGACAGGGACGAAGCUUUGGUGACGGUACCUGUAGAAGAAGCACCGGCUAACUACGUG